rnacentral:rRNA from 1 species
UACGUAGGGGGCGAGCGUUGUCCGGAGUUACUGGGCGUAAAGCGCACGCAGGCGGUCUAUUAAGUUUGGAGUGACAGUUGGUGGCUCAACCACCAAAGUGCUUUGAAAACUGAUAGACUUGAGGGCUUCAGAGGGACACGGAAUUCCGGGUGGAGUGGUGAAAUGCGUAGAGAUCCGGAGGAACACCAAAGGCGAAGGCAGUGUCCUGGGGAGUAACUGACGCUCAGGUGCGAAAGCCAGGGGAGCGAACGGG